rnacentral:rRNA from 1 species
ACGGGUGAGGAACACAUAGGAAUCUGCCCUCAAGAGGGGGAUAACCUGGGGAAACCUGGGCUAAUACCGCAUAUUACUCUGAGGAGGAAAGGCAGGGGCGACUCUGUUACUUGGGGAUGAGCCUAUGUCUGAUUAGCUAGUUGGUGGGGUAAAGGCCUACCAAGGCGACGAUCAGUAACUGGUCUGAGAGGACGGACAGUCACACUGGGACUGAGACACGGCCCAGACUCCUACGGGAGGCAGCAGUGGGGAAUAUUGGACAAUGGGGGGAACCCUGAUCCAGCGAUGCCGCGUGUGUGAAGAAGGCCUGCGGGUUGUAAAGCACUUUUAUCGGAGAAGAGGGUAUUUGUUGUGAAUAGCGACAGAUAUUGACGGUACCCGAGGAAUAAGCACCGGCUAACUCUGUGCCAGCAGCCGCGGUAAUACAGAGGGUGCGAGCGUUAAUCGGAAUUACUGGGCGUAAAGGGCGCGUAGGUGGAUAGAUAAGUCAGAUGUGAAAGUCCUGGGCUUAACCUGGGGAUUGCAUUUGAUACUGUUUGUCUGGAGUGAAGUAGAGGGUGGCGGAAUUUCCGGUGUAGC